rnacentral:rRNA from 1 species
UGGGGAAUAUUGCACAAUGGGCGCAAGCCUGAUGCAGCAACGCCGCGUGAACGAUGAAGGUCUUCGGAUCGUAAAGUUCUGUUGCAGGGGAAGAUAAUGACGGUACCCUGUGAGGAAGCCCCGGCUAACUACGUGCCAGCAGCCGCGGUAAUACGUAGGGGGCUAGCGUUAUCCGGAUUUACUGGGCGUAAAGGGUGCGUAGGUGGUCUUUCAAGUCGGUGGUUAAAGGCUACGGCUCAACCGUAGUUAGCCUCCGAAACUGGAAGACUUGAGUGCAGGAGAGGAAAGUGGAAUUCCCAGGGUAGCGGUGAAAUGCGUAGAUAUUGGGAGGAACACCAGUAGCGAAGGCGGCUUUCUGGACUGCAACUGACACUGAGGCACGAAAGCGUGGGUAGCAAACAGG